AAUCAAAUGGGGCUUAUAAAAUUGUUCUGUACACUUCGGCCACUCAGAGCCACCAAUCAGGACUAUUGAAUCGCCUAAACUCAAGACUGCUAUAUACAGUUCCUCUGACUGUUUCCUACUCAUUUACAAUCACCAAAAUUUAUCACCCAUUACUAAAAAGAUUAAUGGAAUCUCAUUGUGACCAAAAAAUGAAUUUAAAAAAAUAUAUAUAUCUUCUAAAUUGCUUGCUGGUUUUGAAUUCAAUUCUGUGCUCUUUCUCCAGCUCUGCCUUCUCACCUUACAGUGACCCAACUCUCAGACAAGGACCAAUUGCAACUCUGAUUACUCACCAGCUGCUGGAGUCUCUCUGCUGGUGAAGGUGAAUAUGACAAAGAGGACCAAUCAAAUCUUGACUCCACUUCCUUAUUAGACCAUAAUUCAGAUUUUGGCGAUGAGGAUGGAACGGAAACCCACUCUGGGAACUCAAAAGGACAUCUUGGUGAUGAUGAUGGUGGAGAUAAUUGUUCCUUCAAUGUAACAGUGCUUUCAUUAGCAACAAAAGGGUGAUCCAAUAGCAUAUCAGCAGUCCAUCUCGUUCUAGGAUCCUUAACGAAGCACUUGGAUAGAAAAUCCUUCCCUUCUUUGGACAAUUCUUGAGGGAUUUCUGGCAAUUCAUCGCUUACACCAAUUCGAAUCAACAAGGCUGCUACGUUGGUUUCUGGUUUGCAAUUCCAUGCCGGUUUUCCAGUCACCAUCUCAACCAACGCACACCCAAGAGCCCAAAUAUCACACGGUGAAUCGUACUCGUUUUCGUUGACUGAUUCCGGCGACAGGUAUAGAGGAGUUCCUCGAAAUUCCAUUCUCCCUUGCUCCCCACUCAGCUUUUGCCCUGUUUUCUUGGCCAAUCCAAAGUCUGCAAUCUUCGCUUCCCCAUUCUCAAACAACAAAAUAUUCUGAAGCUUUAUGUCGCAGUGAGCAAACCCUUUAGCGUGAAUAUAACGAAGACCCUUUAGUAUCGAUCUCGUGUAGCGUCUGGCAUCCGAUUCCGGCAAGAAACCACCGGACUUCUUUACCCAAUGAUAUAAACUACCACGAGGGGCAUACUCCAACAGCAAGUUAUACAACCUCUGCCCGUUUUCAAUACUCUGAUCGCCGCCAAAACACUUGAUGAUAUUCUCGCAAUUCCCUAGUUGAGUCAAGACAUCCUUCUCAUUCUCAAGCAAAGAAGAGUCAAAAAGAUCACAAGAUUUCACAGCCAUUAAAGGAGCAGAAACUUUCGUGGGAAUUGCCAAAUUAACAGUAGAAAAGCUACCACAACCAAUGAAAUCCCCGCGAAACCAAUCCAUGGGAACAAGAAUCACGAGCCAAAAAGAUUAGAAUAGAAAGGAAUAUCUAUCAGAUGAUCAAAAGACAGCUUAGAAACAGAGGAGUUGAGAGUUAUUCUUCUUCUUGUUGGGCUUGGGUUUGUUUCUUCGAAGGAAAGAAAGAGA
rnacentral:misc_RNA from 1 species